rnacentral:tRNA from 1 species
CAAGUAGUCCCUAGGAGAAGGGUUUGUUGUUUACAUCAACAUUGUAGUUGUGCAGUUCAACUUUACUUGA